CUUUAUUUCGCCUGUUAUACUUUAUAAAUAUAAAUAUGUUUGUUUAGUUUAUCUGUGAAUUUGAAACAGAAUGAAAAAAAAUUGCCAAAAUGAGACAGAAGUCACAUUAUUAUAUUCUUCAUUGUUCUCAUUUUUCUUUAUGCAUAUGUAUAUAUUAGGGAUAAGCGAGGGGGAAUUUACUAGUUAAAAACGUGAACACUUGACUACCGGUAUUACGCCUCACAUUACCCGUAUUACUAAGUAUUACACGUUAUUACAGAGAUUUUUGCGUUAUUACAGCACCGUAAUACGGCAUUAUUACAAGUUGGAAUAUGAAACAUUGUCAACAAUACUUUAUCUAUUACGAACUUUUGGAGUUUAAUUUUCGAAAGACAAGCAAACUAAGAGGACAGCUUUGUUAAUAUUUAUUCUAGAUAAUAUUAACAUAUCACAUUUAAUAAUGUAACGCAUUUUUCUCGUACAAAUUUUUUAUUCUUCUCUUAAUACAACUAGUGAACAAUCUUAUAUGAAAAUUAUAAUGUAAUAAUUAUCACAAUAUUAAUAUCUUUUAACUUAUAUUAACAUAUUAAAACGUAAUGCGUAAUUUUCAUAAAAUUAUUAAUUAAAGACAGUCAUAUAACGCA